rnacentral:rRNA from 1 species
GACGAACGCUGGCGGCGUGCUUAACACAUGCAAGUCGAGCGGAGCGGCGAACGGGCGAGUGACGCGGGAGUAACUGCCCCCCUCCCUGGGAUAACAGGUGGAAACGGGUGCUAAUACCGGAAAGUGGGGGAUGACUCGCGGCCUAGCCGCUUGUAGGUGGGGUAGUGGCCUACUAAGGCGACGACGGGUAGCCGGCCCGAGAGGGCGACCGGCACCAGUGGGAUGAGAUAGGGCCCAAACGCAGACGGGAGGCAGCAGGGGGGAGUAUUGCACAAUAGGGGAGACCCUGAUUAAGAAACGCGGGUUGGGAAGGUCGGCUUUCGGGUUGUAAACGGAUUUCAGCCAUGACGCGGUAGUGGCAGAAGAAGCACCGGCUAACUACGUGCCAGCAGCAGCGGUAAUUC